rnacentral:rRNA from 1 species
ACGCUACGUUCUAGAGUUUGUAUCCUGGCUCAGGAUGAACGCUAGCUACAGGCUUAACACAUGCAAGUCAGGGGCAGCAUGAAUAUUGGCUUGCCAAUAUUUGAUGGCGACCGGCGCACGGGUGAGUAACACGUAUCCAACCUUCCGGUUACUCGGGGAUAGGCUUUCGAAAGAAAGAUUAAUACCCGAUGUUGUGUAUCUUUCUCCUGAAAGAUACGCCAAAGGAUUCCGGUAACCGAUGGGGAUGCGUUCCAUUAGGCAGUUGGCGGGGUAACGGCCCACCAAACCUACGAUGGAUAGGGGUUCUGAGAGGAAGGUCCCCCACAUUGGAACUGAGACACGGUCCAA